AGUGAACGCUGGCGGUAGGCCUAACACAUGCAAGUCGAACGGCAGCACAGUAAGCGCUUGCUCUUACGGGUGGCGAGUGGCGGACGGGUGAGGAAUACAUCGGCAUCUACUUUUUCGUGGGGGAUAACGUAGGGCAACUUACGCUAAUACAGCAUACGACCUACGGGUGAAAGCAGGGGAUCUUCGGACUUUGCGCGAUUGAAUGAGCCGAUGUCGGAUUAGCUAGUUGGCGGGGUAAAGGCCCACCAAGGCGACGAGCCGUAGCUGGUCUGAGAGGAGGAUCGCCCACACUGAAACGGAGACACGGUCCAGACUCCUACGGGAGCAACCAUUGGGAAAUAUUGGACAAUGGGCGCAAGCCUGAGCCAGCCAUACCGGGUGGGUGAAGAAGGCCUUCGGGUGGUAAAGCCCUUUUGUUGGGAAAGAAAAGCAGCAGAUUAAUACCCCGCUGUUCUGACGGUACCCAAAGAAUAAGCACCGGCAAACUCCGU
rnacentral:rRNA from 1 species